UGGGCGCAGCCUGAUGCAGCCAUGCCGCGUGUGUGAAGAAGGCCUUCGGGUUGUAAAGCACUUUCAGUCGUGAGGAAGGUAGUGUAGUUAAUAGCUGCAUUAUUUGACGUUAGCGACAGAAGAAGCACCGGCUAACUCCGUGCCAGCAGCCGCGGUAAUACGGAGGGUGCGAGCGUUAAUCGGAAUUACUGGGCGUAAAGCGCAUGCAGGUGGUUUGUUAAGUCAGAUGUGAAAGCCCGGGGCUCAACCUCGGAAUAGCAUUUGAAACUGGCAGACUAGAGUACUGUAGAGGGGGGUAGAAUUUCAGGUGUAGCGGUGAAAUGCGUAGAGAUCUGAAGGAAUACCGGUGGCGAAGGCGGCCCCCUGGACAGAUACUGACACUCAGAUGCGAAAGCGUGGGGAGCAAACAGGAUUAGAUACCCUGGUAGUCCACGCCGUAAACGAUGUCUACUUGGAGGUUGUGGCCUUGAGCCGUGGCUUUCGGAGCUAACGCGUUAAGUAGACCGCCUGGGGAGUACGGUCGCAAGAUUAAAACUCAAAUGAAUUGACGGGGGCCCGCACAAGCGGUGGAGCAUGUGGUUUAAUUCGAUGCAACGCGAAGAACCUUACCUACUCUUGACAUCCAGAGAACUUUCCAGAGAUGGAUUGGUGCCUUCGGGAACUCUGAGACAGGUGCUGCAUGGCUGUCGUCAGCUCGUGUUGUGAAAUGUUGGGUUAAGUCCCGCAACGAGCGCAACCCUUAUCCUUGUUUGCCAGCGAGUAAUGUCGGGAACUCCAGGGAGACUGCCGGUGAUAAACCGGAGGAAGGUGGGGACGACGUCAAGUCAUCAUGGCCCUUA
rnacentral:rRNA from 2 species